rnacentral:rRNA from 1 species
AUGAGUCUCAUAUGUUGGGAUUGUUGGGCGACGGGCAACCCUGCGACAAUUCGAGAGCUUCGUCAACUAACGAAGCGUUUUGCCACAACCAUUCUAUGUAUUCUUGAGACGCAGAUUGAGAGUACUAGAGUGGAAAAUUUAUCAGUUUCUUUAGGUUUUAAUAAAAGUUUUGCUGUGAGUAGCUCUGGUAGAAGUGGUUGA